rnacentral:rRNA from 1 species
UGGGGAAUCUUGCGCAAUGGGCGAAAGCCUGACGCAGCAACGCCGCGUGCGGGAAGACGGCCUUAGGGUUGUAAACCGCUUUCAGCAGGGACGAAAAUGACGGUACCUGCAGAAGAAGCUCCGGCUAACUACGUGCCAGCAGCCGCGGUAAUACGUAGGGAGCAAGCGUUGUCCGGAUUUAUUGGGCGUAAAGAGCUCGUAGGCGGUUUGGUAAGUCGGGUGUGAAAGCUCCGGGCUCAACUCGGAGAGGUCACUCGAUACUGCCAUGACUCGAGUCCGGUAGGGGGGUGUGGAAUUCCCAGUGUAGCGGUGAAAUGCGCAGAUAUUGGGAGGAACACCAAUGGCGAAGGCAGCACCCUGGGCCGGUACUGACGCUGAGGAGCGAAAGCGUGGGGAGCAAACAGGAUUAGAUACCCUGGUAGUCCACGCCGUAAACGUUGGGCACUAGGUGUGGGUCUCUAUCAACGGGAUCCGUGCCGUAGCUAACGCAUUAAGUGCCCCGCCUGGGGAGUA